GCUAUUGGAAUGGCCGAUAUCUGAUUAGCUAGUUGGUAGGGUAAAAGCCUACCAAGGCGACGAUCAGUAGCUGGUCUGAGAGGACGACCAGCCACACUGGAACUGAGACACGGUCCAGACUCCUACGGGAGGCAGCAGUGGGGAAUUUUGGACAAUGGGGGCAACCCUGAUCCAGCAAAGCCGCGUGAGUGAAGAAGGCCCUCGGGUUGUAAAGCUCAGGGUCAGGGAAGAAACGGAGUCUCUAAUAUAGGAUCU
rnacentral:rRNA from 1 species